rnacentral:lncRNA from 1 species
GAAGAUGGCAUCGACUAAAACCAUUGUGACAAAUUCAUCCCCGGUAAGCUCAAUGGUCUCUGUGUAACACUUCUGCAGUUUUUCUUUUUGCUCUCUUUAUUUGUCUAUGUAAUCAUUUUGUGAAUGGCUUGAUUGGCUUCGCGAUCGCUCCAUGAAACAAUUUAGGUACCACCUUUUGUGAACUUCCAUGCGCUUCAAGUCUGGGUUUCUAUGAUGAUAUGGGCCUAUAGAGAUUACACGAGGUGUGUAGUCCUUUUUGCUUUCACGGCGGAAUCGAUCAGGAACCCGGUGGAUGCAACGCAAAGGGGUCGGGGGAGACAAGCUUUCCGACUUCAUCGCUCUGGUUUGCGACGGAGUUUCUAUGUCACAAGUAGAAGCAGCUACAUCACUUCCUCCCAUUUCCAUCCUACAUAUAUGUUUUCACAAAGUUAAACUCGAUCACUAGUUUAUAAAUAUGUAUUUCAGUAGUUUCAAAAAGUUUAGACUAAAACGC